AUGGGAAGUAAAAAUCCACAGGCAAUCCCAAUUUCCAUAUUGAUAGUUCUGUUGAGGGACUCAUACUAGGAGGAUUGUCUGGUGGUAUGUACCUUGCUUAAACUUUGUCCUACUUGGUGCUGGUUUAAGUCUUGUAUAAUUGCAUUCAGCAUUUUCUGUAGGGUAAUUUAUACUUGCUUCGAAUUGGUCAGGCAUUAGUGCAAAUAUCUUACCAGUGCCUUCGAUGUGAUCAAAACAAGAUUGCAAGUGCAGGGUUCAACCUUGAGGUAUCAGUUCUAUAUGUGGUUUUUAAUUUUUAUUAUUUUUACUUUCAUAUAACUUUUAGUUAUUAGUGUAGGAACAAAAAAUUUUGUUGCAAGCAUCAUGUUGUGUUGUUAGAGUACUUAAUGUUAUCCGAGCAAGGCUUGGCAUUCAUAUUGUGUCAGCUGUUGUGUAUGUGAACGCUGACCACCUUGGUCCACAGACACAAACACCAUUUAUCCUUUGUGAUUAUUGAGGGGAUUUUACAAUGCUGUAGUUGUUUUAUCAAUGCACCAUUUUGGUUGAAUCUCAUAGCCAGAUAACAGAAUAUUUUAAAUAUUGGGUACAUAAUUGAUGGGCUAUAGUCAGAAAAUAUGUACUUUGGUAAAGUUUGCGUUGAUUGUUAUUCAAACUGAGCUUUCCUUUCGACCUGAUAUAUAUUUCAAACUCAUGGGAUGAAAGUUAGAUGUGAUAGAAGAACGAUUUUACGGUUUCCAUCUAAUGUUUGUUGUGAAUUUUAGGUACAAUGGCUGUUAUAUGCAAAGUAGCAUAAGGAUGGCUGACGAUGCACAGGAGGUUGCUCAGAGGUAG
rnacentral:lncRNA from 1 species